AAGCAACCACAUAAUGACAGUGGGCAUCAGGCAGCUCGCAGAUUGCAAAUUGCAUUGCAAACUUUUUGAAAAGGAGGAACAACAAAAAAAAAAAGACCGAGCGCUUCCUUAAAUAUUAUGUGCGUAUUAAAGAGAGAGUUGAGGACAAAGGACACCGACCCUGGACGAGGUCAGGUUCAGAUCCCCCCAGAUGACGAACCCCGCUGCUCCCAGAGCAGCGCUCUCCCCGAUGGUGUGGAUCAAGUCCUUCUGCAGGAAACACAGGAAGAAACGGCAGCAGAUGAAGCUGAUGGAGAGACAGCAGAGAGGUGAUGAGCAGCUGAUAAACAGCAAAUCAGAGCCGCAGACUGAAGCCGGGGCCACAGGUUUUGUGUUGACAAUACGGAGAGGAAGAAAAAGAAACGGGAGAGGACCGCGACCUGCCGAUGCUGAGGCUGUUUACUUCCUCGGCUGUCAAUCAUCAUAAGACAACAAUAAUGAUGAUAAUAACGCCGACGGAGUCACGCUGUCAGAAUUACUCAGCCGAGUUUGCUUCACUUUGAAGGCUGUUAAUCUGGUUCAGAUGUUCAUUGUCCACAUAGGAUGGAUCUUAAGGACUCUGCUGAUCCUCUGACUUUUCAUCUUCAGCGCAACCAAAAGGUUCAAAAAUAGAUACGCUUAGUCAAUUGUAUUAAGAUUGUCAUACAUUUGCUUCAAAGUGCUUCACAACCUGUACUCUACAACUCCACCAAAACACCCUCUAACAAGAAAUAAAGCCUUUACACACCAAGUGCAUGACGAAUAAACAGCUAGAACAAAUACUCAUUAACUAUUCAUACUGUCAGUGAUGCAAUGUUGUCACAGUUGCAGAAAGUUUUUCAAUAAAAAGGUUACAAUAGAUGGACCAACGACCAGGAUCCUGCUGACCCAGAGCAGCGUCUGGGAGUCGGCCUGAGGUCAGAUGUUGUAUAGGCUAAGAUGUUUUAUUGAGUUUCCUUUGACUCAAAUGCUCUGGUCAGCAGUUACGCUCUGUAUAUAUGUUUUUGUACUGUAUUGUGUACGUUUUGAAUAUGUUGCCACUAAAGUUGAAAGAGUUGGAUGAAGAGUUAAGGAAUUGCAAAGUUAUCUCAAUUCAUCCGGAGGGGAACAUGAAUGGAAUGUCUGAACCAGAUUGUUUUCCAAUCUAUCCGUGAGUUGUCAAGACAUUUCACUCAAAACCAGAAUAGUUAAGGGGGUCGCCAGUCGUGUGUGAUGUUGAGAUAUUUCCCCAGAUAAGGGAACACUUUGAGCCCCCUGGUGUUGCAAUAUGUAAAGUCAAGAAAUCACCAAAGUCCCCAGGGUUCAUCAUCUUGGGAGCAUAAAUGUUGGUACCAAAGUGUGUACCAAUCCAUUGACUAGAUGUUGAGAUAUUUCAUCAGAUAUUGAAAAUGUGGACCCCCUGGUGUUACAAUAGGUAAAGUCAGGAGAUCUCCAUAGUACCCAGGGUUCAUCCUCCUUGGAGCAUGAACGUCUGUAACAAAUCUUGUACCGAUCCAUUGAGUAGAUGUUGAGAUAUUUCACCAGAUUAGUUAAAACCUUGACCCAUUGGGGUUGCAAUAUAGUUAAAUUCAAGAAAUCACCAAAGUCAGUGGGGUUCAUCCUCCUGGGAGCAUGAACGUUUGAUUCAAAUUGCAUCGCAAUCCAUCCAAUAGCUGCUCAGAUAUUUUGGUCUAGCUCAAAGUAGUUGACGAACUGACUACUAAAAUAUUAGUUUUCCGACAUAUACACAACAUUUCUAUACGUUCAGUGUCUUUGAACUGUCCGGUCGACCUCGUCGCAGGUUUCUUAGAAAAUGUUCUCACUUUUCUCAAAGCUGCAGAUCGGCGGGCCACAUUUUCAUGAUUAUGGUUUUUAAAAAAACAACAACGUAUAGCUCAAUUAAUCAGAAGCCGCCACCACCGAG